rnacentral:rRNA from 1 species
AUUUAACUGAAGGGUUUGAUCCUGGCUCAGAAUGAACGUUGGCGGCGUGGAUUAGGCAUGCAAGUCGA